CAGCCGCCACGGGAAUACGUAGGGUGCGAGCGUUAAUCGGAAUUACUGGGCGUAAAGCGUGCGCAGGCGGUUAUAUAAGACAGAUGUGAAAUCCCCGGGCUCAACCUGGGACCUGCAUUUGUGACUGUAUAGCUAGAGUACGGUAGAGGGGGAUGGAAUUCCGCGUGUAGCAGUGAAAUGCGUAGGUAUGCGGAGGAACACCGAUGGCGAAGGCAAUCCCCUGGACCUGUACUGACGCUCAUGCACGAAAGCGUGGGGAGCAAACAGGAUUAGAUACCCGUGUAGUCCCUGUCUCUUAUAC
rnacentral:rRNA from 1 species